AAUGAACGCUGGCGGCAGGCCUAACACAUGCAAGUCGAACGGAUCCUUCGGGAUUAGUGGCGGACGGGUGAGUAACGCGUGGGAACAUACCCUUUGGUACGGAAUAGCCUCGGGAAACUGGGAGUAAUACCGUAUGUGGUCGAGAGACGAAAGAUUUAUCGCCAAAGGAUUGGCCCGCGUUGGAUUAGGUAGUUGGUGGGGUAAUGGCCAACCAAGCCGACGAUCCAUAGCUGGUUUGAGAGGAUGAUCAGCCACACUGGGACUGAGACACGGCCCAGACUCCUACGGGAGGCAGCAGUGGGGGAUCUUAGACAAUGGGGGAAACCCUGAUCUAGCCAUGCCGCGUGAUCGAUGAAGGCCUUAGGGUUGUAAAGAUCUUUCAGGUGGGAAGAUAAUGACUGUACCACCAGAAGAAGCCCCGGCUAACUCCGUGCCAGCCGCCGCAGUAA
rnacentral:rRNA from 1 species